rnacentral:rRNA from 1 species
AGCAGCCGCGGUAAUUCCAGCUCCAAUAGCGUAUAUUAAAGUUGUUGCAGUUAAAAAGCUCGUAGUUGAAUUUCGGGAUUGACGUGAUGGUCGUGCCUUAAGGGGUAUGAACUGUCGCAGUUGAUUUCUCACCUUCUGGAGAAGCUUGAUGUCCUUAAUUGGGUGUCAUGUGGAACCAGGACCUUUACCUUGAAAAAAUUAGAGUGUUUAAAGCAGGCAUUUUGCUCGAAUACAUUAGCAUGGAAUAAUAGAAUAGGACGGCAUGGUUCUAUUUUGUUGGUUUCUAGGAUCACCGUAAUGAUUAAUAGGGAUAGUUGGGGGCAUUAGUAUUCAAUUGUCAGAGGUGAAAUUCUUGGAUUUAUUGAAGACUAACUACUGCGAAAGCAUUUGCCAAGGAUGUUUUCAUUAAUCAAGAACGAAAGUUAGGGGAUCGAAGACGAUCAGAUACCGUCGUAGUCUUAACCAUAAACUAUGCCGA